GAAGUCGGCAAAAUGGAUCCG
rnacentral:snRNA from 1 species